UAUAUGCCAAAAAUCACAAAAAACAAACAUUCAGAGAUCAAGUAAUGAGGCAAAACAUUUUGACGGUGAUAAAACAAAAAAAAAUCACGAUUUAACGGUUAUUUUUAACUUCGAUUUUGAUGAUUUUUUACAAGUACACUUUUUGACCCUAUACGAAUACAAUGAAUGAAUUCGAUCGUCAAUUUAAAAUAUUUACACAUGUGGAUACCACAAAAUCUUAUGUUAUACUUAAUGAAAGUAUAAAUAAACUCUAAGUGUUAGUGAAUCUAUCGUUUUGAUGGAAUACGAAUUCUAUGAAACUAAUUUCAACGAUCCAACCAUCAAUCUUGUUUGUAUAUGCUUUGAGAUCGCAUACGCCAAAAAUCACAAAAAACAAACAUUCAGAGAUCAAGUAAUGAGACAAAACUUUUCGACGGUUAUAAAACAAAAAAUCACGAUUUAACGGUUAUUUUAACUUCGAUUUUGAUAAUUUUUUACAACUACACUUGUUGACCCUAUACGAAUACAAUGAAUGAAUUCGAUCGUCAAUUUAAAAUAUUUACACAAGUGGAUACCACAAAAUCUUAUGUUAUACUUAAUGAAAGUGUAAAUAAACUCUAAGUGUUAGUGAAUCUAUCGUUUUGAUGGGAUACGAAUUCUAUGAAACUAAUUUCAACAAUCCAACCGUCAAUCUUGUUUGUAUAUGCUUUGAGAUCGCAUACGCCAAAAAUCACAAAAAACAAACAUUCAGAGAUCAAGUAAUGAGACAAAAAUUUUCGACGGUUAUAAAACAAAAAAUCACGAUUUAACGGUUAUUUUAACUCCGAUUUUGAUGAUUUUUUACAACUACACUUGUUGACCCUAUACGAAUACAAUGAAUACAUUCGAUCGUCAAUUUAAAAUAUUUACACAAGUGUAUACCACAAAAUCUUAUGUUAUACUUAAUGAAAGUAUAAAUAAACUCUAAAUGUUAGUGAAUCUAUCGUUUUGAUGGGAUACGAAUUUUAUGAAACUAAUUUCAACGAUCCAACCGUCAAUCUUGUUUGUAUAUGCUUCGAGAUCGCAUAUGCCAAAAAUCACAAAAAACAAACAUUCAGAGAUCAAGUAAUGAGACAAAACUUUUCGACGGUUAUAAAACAAAAAAUCACGAUUUAACGGUUUUUUUAACUCCGAUUUUGAUGAUUUUUUACAACCACACUUGUUGACCCUAUACGAAUACAAUGAAUGAAUUCGAUCGUCAAUUUAAAAUAUUUACACAAGUGGAUACUACAAAAUCUUAUGUUAUACUUAAUGAAAGUAUAAAUAAAGUCUAAGUAUCUAUGGUUUGGAUGAGAUACGAAUUCUAUGAAACUAAUUUCAAUGAUCCAACCGUCAAUCUUGUUUGUAUAAUUUGAAUGGUUUUUAAUGUUUGGUUUUUCUAUACUUAGUUUAUGCGGAAGAGAGUUCUGACGUAGACAACCUUACCGAAAACAUCAUCAACAGAACUCUUGAAGGCAAUAGAUCAAGCCAAAGUUCCAAUACAAUUUCCCCAUGAUGAUCGAUGAAAAUUGAGGAUUUUGUAAAAGAAAUAACAUUCAAACUUUGAGUUCUAUUGACAAGGUUUAAACUUUUGAGAAAGGCUUCACAACCUUGAAAACAAAAACUAUUUCAUUUUGCAUAUCCUUGCACAUUUAAUAUUUUGUAAUAGACUAGUGUAUAGAUGUUUUUUUAUUAGGCUCUUAUUUUCGAGUGUAGAUGUAGUACUUAAAUGACAAAUAUGUUUUAAUGUUUUGAAGUAAUAUUUAUGUGGUAAUGUGUGGUAUGUGCAAAUUUAAGAAAAAAAUAUAUUUUUCUUAACGGGUCAUAAUGGGUCAUAACGGG
rnacentral:lncRNA from 1 species